UACGUAGGUGGCGAGCGUUGUCCGGAUUUACUGGGCGUAAAGGGAGCGUAGGCGGACUUUUAAGUGAGAUGUGAAAUACUCGGGCUCAACCCGGGGGCUGCAUUUCAAACUGAAAGUCUAGAGUGCAGGAGAGGAGAGUGGAAUUCCUAGUGUAGCGGUGAAAUGCGUAGAGAUUAGGAAGAACACCAGUGGCGAAGGCGGCUCUCUGGACUGUAACUGACGCUGAGGCUCGAAAGCGUGGGGAGCAAACAGGAUUAGAUACCCCUGUA
rnacentral:rRNA from 1 species